rnacentral:rRNA from 1 species
UACAGAGGUCCCAAGCGUUGUUCGGGAUUCAUUGGGCGUAAAGGGUGCGUAGGCGGCGCGGUAAGUCGGGUGUGAAAUCUCGGAGCUUAACUCCGAAACUGCAUUCGAUACUGCCGUGCUUGAGGACUGGAGAGGAGACUGGAAUUUACGGUGUAGCGGUGAAAUGCGUAGAUAUCGUAAGGAAGACCAGUGGCGGAAGGCGGGUCUCUGGACAGUUCCUGACGCUGAGGCACGAAGGCCAGGGGGAGCAAACGGG